CGUGCCGGAAGGAAAUCACUCAGCCUUACACCGCCCCCAUUCCCCCACCCGCAGAGCUUCCCUUGCCUCGCGCCCCCUCCCCUCUCUGCUCUUCUUCCUAAAUCGGGAGGAGGGCGGGAGCCCGGUGUCUUGGUCAUGUCUCCGCCCACAAUGGCGAGGAAGGGCGGGGAAAAGGGGCGGGCUUAUGGGGCAGGAAGAAGGUGGUGCUGGAGGAGGGGAAGAUUGAGGGCGGCUAGGGGGAGGAGCCGAAGCAGUCGCUGCCGGGAGCGUGCGUCAUGACGUCACCAAAGAAAACUCUUAUAUACGGGAGCCCAGGCACCAUUACGUCCUUUCGAGGUAGGAGGCCGCUUUGAUUUGGUAUGGAGCUAGGUGCGGAUGCAAUGUGGCUCUCGAUAGCACCUUAUGGAUAGUUGUGUCCCAAAGGAUGAGAAUAGCUGCUGAAGUAAGUUGAAAAUUCCCUCUCAAAAAUAUUGAAGUCACUGGAUGUGCCACAAUGAUGACAGUUUAUUUGCUACUCUUGACUGCUAGAAUGACGAGAGUCUUAACCACCAAUCUUAACUGAGGCACCCAAAAUGGUGAUUUGGGGAACAGAGAGCACACCUAAGUUCACAUCAAGCUGUUUCUUCCCAGGUCCUAAAGAGCAAGCCUAACUCAAGCUGUUGGCACACAGGUGAGAAACCUUUGUUAUACUUGUCACACUUUAAGGGAUUAGAAAAUAGCCAGAGCAAUGAUGCUUAUAUACAUUAGUGUUUCUCUCCUCCCCUUUUCUAUUUUGUUUAUUUAUUUUUUAUUCCUCACCUUUUCAAAUGUGAGUUUCUGCUCUCAU